CAUUAGGGAAACGUUUGUUAAAAAAAAGUGUUUAGUUCGUUUAUAAUUGAAUUCGAGGCAAAUAGAAUUUUAUUUACGCGAAAGAAUGGUAAAAACAUACAAGUAUAUUAUUGUGAUUGUAUUAAAAAACUUUUUAUCUAAAAAUGUGUCUGUUUAAGUGAUAAUUUCCUUAACUACAUUCCAGAUUAUCAGUUUCGGAUUGAUAUAAUACACUCAGUGUUCGUUUAAAGUGUGAUAGAACUUUUGAGCAUACGAAUGGACAUGGUAGAUGAAGAUUUUGUUUGAGGAGACUUCAUUGUUUCAAGAGAUAAACAGAUACCAGAAUGAAACUGAAUUGUGUAAACAAAAUGUUAUGAACAAGCUGAAAAUAGUUGAUAAACCUGGUAGAAGAAGAAAAUCUUGGUUAAACAAACUUGAAACAACGGUCCUCGAUAAAGGAAAAGCCAUAACAAGUUGUUACGUAUCAUAGUGAGACCAUCGUCCAUAUUAGAUAUAUAAAUUUCGCUGAAUGGAUUUGUCCAAAGCUUGUUGGUAACACGCGUGGACUAACUUUGUAAAAGGAGAGUAAACAUCGAACUGAUCCACCACAGCCUUAGAGGCGAUACUAAACCUGCCUCCCGUUUACUUUAUAGCGAAGAAAAGGGCAUUUAGCGACGUCCACAAACGGUGAACUUAGAGUCAGGAAUUUCUAGAGCUGAUAGAGCUAGAAAGCAGUGACAAACCGCGGAUGAAAUGUAUAGCAAUCUUUGAUCAAUAAAAAUCUUCCGCGGGCUCGAUAUGUUUCCAUCUGACGCACAGGAGGUUCGAGGCUAACGCUGGAUUGGACAUUUGCGGAUCAAAAUGCAAAUGCCUCCCAUACCAUUAGGAAAAUAACUAAGGAAACACUCCAAGUCUAAGACAAUCUAAAA